GUACAGCUUCGACUCUUUCUUCUCUUAGACGCUCUCGACCGUCUCUAAAGAGAAUGACGAGUCUCUUCUCGUGAGAGUUUUAGUUUGUUUCCCGAUCUCCUCUCUUCUCAGUUCAAUGUUUUUCUUCUUUUUCGGUUGGCUAGUGUGGAGGAUCUAACUUUGAAGGGGAGUUAAAUUUUUCUUACAGUAGAAGAAGGUGAAGCUAUUUGCAUACCAGAUCUAGAUCCAAACGUCAACAAAUCUGUCUCAUAGUGCAGUAUUGUGGGGAAGAUCUUGAUGGAGCGGCCAAUCAAUAAAGCCAUCUUGGCUAAGACAAUGGGGAAUAUAUGGAAACUCUCGGGGAGUCCCUCUUUCAUGGAGGUAGGGCAGAAUACAUCUAUAAUAACUUUUUCUAAUAUUCGAGAUGCGAAAUGCAUAAUGGCAGGUCAUCCGUGGUCUUUUGACCAUCAUCUUUUUGUUCUAAAUCAGAUCGAUACUGCUAUCCCUAUUGAGGAAACGACAUUUGAUUCAGAGGUUUUUUGGGUUCAAAUCCACAACCUUCCUCUCAUGGCAAUGACGGACGCAGUAUGGAAGUAGAUUGGCUCUUCAUUGGGAGAGUUAAUAGAAGUUGAUGUGAAUAGUGAUGGGCUAGGCUGGGGGAUUUACCUCCGUGUUCGUGUUCAGAUCCAGCUGAAGAAUCCCUUACUUAGGGGGAAGCUCCUGAAACUUCCUCAGAAAGAUUUUAUGUUGGGCUUUUAAUAUGAAAAGCUCCCUCGGUUUUGUUUUAAAUGUAGGCGAAUUCUUCAUCACCAAAGGGUUUGCCCUAUUAGUACUGACGAUCGUCUUCAUCGGAACAAUAAUGGGGAUGAAUAUGGGCCCUGGUUGAGGGCUAGUCUGUAGAAUCGCAAAUCUCAAAAUACAGAUAGGCUUAAGACUUCUCAAUCUGAUUCUAUGGGUUUCUCAGCUGAAGAUACUUGUAGUGACCAUGAAGUUUUAGAAGGUGAUGAUGGUGUGUAUGACUUAGCAGUAGGUGGAAAUGCGGGAAAGCAAUUGCUAGUUAUUGAAGAUGGGGUGAAUGCAGGAACUAAGGUGGAUUCACACCAGAUAACGAAGGGGGGUCCUCUCAUGGCGAGGUUAAUAUAGAGGAAGAGUCCGCGACAAAGGUUUCUCUCGGUAAGGACUCUAUGGAUUCUUCUCCCGACAUAAAAAAGUGGAAGCAUAGAGCAAGAGCUAAGGGUGUAGUCUCGGGUACCACUACUGUCUUGGCUAAGAGAAGGUUGGAUGGCAAUGAAAGUGCAGUUCAGGGGGACAUCGGAAGGCUUCCAAAGAAGGGCUCAAUCUUGGAAGUUACUUCGUAAGCUCCUUCCUCCUAAUCAGGCUUGGCUUUAUGUAGGACUUUAAUGUUAUCUCCAAUUAUCACGAGAGGGUUGGGGUAGCUCAAAGGAAGGCCAUUUCAUGCAGCGGUUUAACCAAGCCUAUCAAGAUGUGGGCUUGUUUGAUUUAGGCUUUUCAGGGUCAAAAUUUACGUGGACUAACAAGAGAUCUCUUCCAGCGUCUUUCAUCAUGGAAUGCUUAGACAGAGCGAUGGCAAAUGAUGUCUAGUUGAAUACCUUUCAGAAUUUUGAGGUUUAGAAUAUUGCCACUUCUUCAUCCGAUCAUUGUUGUUUGUUAGUCUCAUGGGAGGUGGAGGCUACGCGAAGAUAGUAUACUCGUCCACGUUUCAGGUAUGUUAACUAGUGGGGUAAUUGGCCUGAGUGCAAUAGAAUUAUUCAGCAGCAGUGGCAUCAAAGCGGGGCUGGAGCGUGCCCCAAUUCUAAAAUGCGAGGUCUCCAUAAUAAUUUGUUGGGGUGCCAGAAGAGUAUUCAGAAGUGGGUGGUGAAGUUCAAAAAUGAUCAGAGUAGCCAGACUAGCUCUUUGUAGUCUCAACUUUCUCAAAAUCUCCAUGGUGAGAGCAUUUAGAAUCAAGAAGCGCUUUCUAGGAUUCGUUCUUCCUUGGAUUUUCCUUGGGAGACCGGGGAAAGUAUUCGUAAGCAACAAUCUAAGAUUCAGUGGUUACAGGAGGAGGAUCGAAAUACUAAGUUCUUCCACCAUUGUGUUCAACAAAGGAAAAAGGGUUACCAAAAACGACAAUGAUGGUCGUGAUGAGGAGGAUCAUGAAGAGGAUAUAAUGGAUGAUGCAUAAUAGGGAUUAGGAGUGAACUCUUGACUUCUCUUUGGAAUUUGUGUUAAUUAUUAAUGAACUAGCAAGUAGUUGUUAUUUUGCAUUAUGUUUGAUAAGGUAUGUAAUUUUGUUGUUGCUCGGAUUAUAGCUUUUAUGGAUAUUAAUUUGGUGGGUUGAUUUAGAUUGUGAUGAUUAUAGGAUGUGAAAUAUGUACAU